GCCGGGCGUGGUGGCGCAUGCCUGUAAUCCCAGUUACUUGGGAGGCAGAGGCAGGAGAAUCACUUGAACCCAGGAGGUGGAGGGUGCAGUGAGCUGAGAUCAUGCCAUUGCACUCCAGCCUGGGCAACAGAGAGAGACUCUGUCUAAA
ensembl:misc_RNA Metazoa_SRP Metazoan signal recognition particle RNA